GUCGAGCGGACAGAUGGGAGCUUGCUCCCUGAUGUUAGCGGCGGACGGGUGAGUAACACGUGGGUAACCUGCCUGUAAGACUGGGAUAACUCCGGGAAACCGGGGCUAAUACCGGAUGGUUGUUUGAACCGCAUGGUUCAGACAUAAAAGGUGGCUUCGGCUACCACUUACAGAUGGACCCGCGGCGCAUUAGCUAGUUGGUGAGGUAACGGCUCACCAAGGCAACGAUGCGUAGCCGACCUGAGAGGGUGAUCGGCCACACUGGGACUGAGACACGGCCCAGACUCCUACGGGAGGCAGCAGUAGGGAAUCUUCCGCAAUGGACGAAAGUCUGACGGAGCAACGCCGCGUGAGUGAUGAAGGUUUUCGGAUCGUAAAGCUCUGUUGUUAGGGAAGAACAAGUGCCGUUCAAAUAGGGCGGCACCUUGACGGUACCUAACCAGAAAGCCACGGCUAACUACGUGCCAGCAGCCGCGGUAAUACGUAGGUGGCAAGCGUUGUCCGGAAUUAUUGGGCGUAAAGGGCUCGCAGGCGGUUUCUUAAGUCUGAUGUGAAAGCCCCCGGCUCAACCGGGGAGGGUCAUUGGAAACUGGGGAACUUGAGUGCAGAAGAGGAGAGUGGAAUUCCACGUGUAGCGGUGAAAUGCGUAGAGAUGUGGAGGAACACCAGUGGCGAA
rnacentral:rRNA from 1 species